CAAUAGCGUAUAUUAAAGUUGUUGCAGUUAAAAAGCUCGUAGUUGGACCUUGGACCUGGACAGGCGGUCCGCCUCACGGCGAGUACUGUCUUGCUGGGUCUUUCCUCUUGGUGAUCUGUUGUUUCGGCAGCAGGGAACCAGGACCUUUACUUUGAAAAAAUUAGAGUGUUCAAAGCAGGCUCGACGCCGGAAUAUAUUAGCAUGGAAUAAUAAAAUAGGACGUGCGGUUCUAUUUUGUUGGUUUUUGGAAUCGCCGUAAUGAUUAAUAGGGACAGUCGGGGGCAUUAGUACUCACAUGCUAGAGGUGAAAUUCUUGGAUUUUGUGAAGACUAACUUCUGCGAAAGCAUUUGCCAAGGAUGUUUNCAUUG
rnacentral:rRNA from 1 species